rnacentral:rRNA from 1 species
UAGAGUUUGAUCAUGGCUCAGGAUGAACGCUGGCGGCGUGCUUAACACAUGCAAGUCGAACGAAGCAAUAGGAAGGAAGUUUUCGGAUGGAAUUCAUAUUGACUGAGUGGCGGACGGGUGAGUAACGCGUGGGUAACCUGCCUCAUACAGGGGGAUAACAGUUAGAAAUGACUGCUAAUACCGCAUAAGCGCACAGAAUCGCAUGAUAAUGUGUGAAAAACUCCGGUGGUAUGAGAUGGACCCGCGUCUGAUUAGCUAGUUGGUGGGGUAAAGGCCUACCAAGGCGACGAUCAGUAGCCGACCUGAGAGGGUGAUCGGCCACAUUGGGACUGAGACACGGCCCAAACUCCUACGGGAGGCAGCAGUGGGGAAUAUUGCACAAUGGGGGAAACCCUGAUGCAGCAACGCCGCGUGAGUGAAGAGGUAUUUCGAUAUGUAAAGCUCUAUCAGCAGGGAAGAAGAUGACGGUACCUGAGUAAGAAGCCCCGGCUAACUACGUGCCAGCAGCCGCGGUAAUACGUAGGGGGCAAGCGUUAUCCGGAUUUACUGGGUGUAAAGGGAGCGUAGACGGCAUAGCAAGUCUGAAGUGAAAGCCCAAGGCUCAACCAUGGGACUGCUUUGGAAACUGUUAAGCUAGAGUGCUGGAGAGGUAAGCGGAAUUCCUAGUGUAGCGGUGAAAUGCGUAGAUAUUAGGAAGAACACCAGUGGCGAAGGCGGCUUACUGGACAGUAACUGACGUUGAGGCUCGAAAGCGUGGGGAGCAAACAGGAUUAGAUACCCUGGUAGUCCACGCAGUAAACGAUGAAUGCUACCUGUUUGGCCAGAUUGAUGGCUGAGCGGGACAGCGAAAGCGUUAAGCAUUCCACCUGGGGAGUACGCCGGCAACGGUGAAACUCAAAGGAAUUGACGGGGGCCCGCACAAGCGGAGGAACAUGUGGUUUAAUUCGAUGAUACGCGAGGAACCUUACCCGGGCUCAAACGCAUAAUGACGACAGUUGAAAGAUUGUUUCCCUUCGGGGCAUUAUGCGAGGUGCUGCAUGGUUGUCGUCAGCUCGUGUCGUGAGAUGUUGGGUUAAGUCCCGCAACGAGCGCAACCCCUAUUUCCAGUAGCCAGCAUGAAAGAUGGGCACUCUGGAGAGACUGCCCGGGACAACCGGGAGGAAGGCGGGGACGACGUCAAAUCAUCAUGCCCCUUAUGACCAGGGCUACACACGUGCUACAAUGGCGUAAACAAAGGGAGGCAAGACGGCGACGUCAAGCAAAUCCCAGAAAUAACGUCCCAGUUCGGAUUGUAGUCUGCAACCCGGCUACAUGAAGCUGGAAUCGCUAGUAAUCGCGGAUCAGAAUGCCGCGGUGAAUACGUUCCCGGGUCUUGUACACACCGCCCGUCACACCAUGGGAGUCGGAAAUGCCCGAAGUCAGUGACCCAACCACAACGUGAACUUUGUUCACGUGGAGGGAGCUGCCGAAGGUGGAGCCGGUAACUGGGGUGAAGUCGUAACAAGGUAGCCGUA